rnacentral:rRNA from 1 species
UACAGAGGUCUCAAGCGUUGUUCGGAUUCAUUGGGCGUAAAGGGUGCGUAGGCGGCGUGGUAAGUCGGAUGUGAAAUCUCGGAGCUUAACUCCGAAACUGCAUUCGAUACUGCCGUGCUUGAGGACUGGAGAGGAGACUGGAAUUUACGGUGUAGCGGUGAAAUGCGUAGAUAUCGUAAGGAAGACCAGUGGCGAAGGCGGGUCUCUGGACAGUUCCUGACGCUGAGGCACGAAGGCCAGGGGGAGCAAACGGGG